GACUUCUGGUUUAAUGCACCUGGCCCGAGUGCCGGCGCGCGUUUACCAUCCUUCCAGCAACGGCUACCCUUAACUGGGCGGCUGGAACUGGAUCUUUUACUUUGAAAAAAUUAGAGUGUUUAAAGCAGGCGUUUGCUCUGAAUACAUUAGCAUGGAAUAAUAAUCUAGGACUUCGGUUCUAUUUUGUUGGUUUCUCUCACUGAAGUAAUGAUUGAGGGAUAGUUGGGGGUGCUAGUAUUGGGCGGUCAGAGGUGAAAUUCUUGGAUUCGGUCAAGACUAACUUAUGCGAAAGCAUU
rnacentral:rRNA from 1 species